CCUCUCCCGGCUUUCUCAGCGCGCAUGGGACACCGGCUUUCUGACAUUUUUACAGCUCAGCGGUUCUCAAGAGUUUUGUUUCUCCAGUGGAAGUAACAGGCUGACUUUGUAGGGACGCGCAGCCGUCCGUAUAUGCGUAUAGUAUUCAGAGGUUCCUUCUGUAAGGACCGAUUUGGAAGACUCGUAAGGAAACAGUGUUCUUUAAGCAAACAUUGGCAAUGGAUUUAAAUGCUCAGAAUUUGAACAAAUCAACGACUGCAGGUGAAAUUAACUUGCUAACUGUAAAAUAUAUUAUUCGACAUUGAAACAGGAAAUCCCACAUGAGCACAUGGUGGAGUCUCUCUAUGUCACCCAGGCUAGAGGGCAAUGGCUCAAUCUCAGCUCACUACAAACUCUGCCUCCUAGGUUCAAGCAAUUCUCCUGCCUCACUCUCCCGAGUAGCUGGAAUUACAGCUGAUGAAGAAGAAUCCUCUCAUGAGACCAUUGGCAUGGACUGAAGGAGAGGCAGCAAGACCUCAGGAUCUUUCCUCAAGAGGACUAAGCCUCCCCAUCACUCAAGAGACCCUGGAUUCAAGAGCUGCCUAACAUCUAGAAACUUGGAAUCCCACUGUAUGCUCUCAAGGACCCUGUUUAUUCUGCAGCUCAGAUCAAAAUGCCUUUUUCCUAAAGAUGAGGUGGAGAAGAGAGAAGGCCUUUGCUUUCCUUGGCAUGUUAGAGUGUGAGCAGUGCUUACAGAGAAAGUUGAUUUCCUGGAAAACCUCCAGCCACAGCCCUUUUUAUUAUUUUAUUAUUAUUUUGUUUACUCUGCCAUAAAUUCAACCAAGUGUACACAACUCUUUUAAUAUGUGAAUGAUGAAACAGUAAAAGCCACAGCCUCACUGGAAGGCAGGAUGUGAGUCACCAUUAAAAAAAAAAAAAUCAACACAGACUUCAUCCCAACAACUUUAUUUCUAAGGAUCUUUCCUAGAUAUAUAUUUGCACGAAUGUGAAGAGACAUGUUCAAGGAUAUUCAGUGCAGCCUGGUUUGUAACAGUGAAAUCAGAAACAACAUAAAUGACUCACAAAAGAAAAAUGGUUACCUAAACUAUAUUACACCCAUACUAUGGAAUAUAUCCAUGCUCUGCAACAUUCAAAGAAUAAAAUAGAUCUAUAUUCAUCGAUAUGAAAAGACCUUUAAGACAAAUUGUUAAAUGAAAGCAAAUCUAUAGAAAAAUAAAGCAUAAUCCAGUUACAUAAAAAUACAUAUUUCUUUGUGUAUAUGUACACACACAUAAUGUAUAUAUGUACAUAAAGAAAAAGAUCUUGAAUGAUACCCAUCAAAUAGUGAGCUUUUGCUUUGUUUCUGAAUUUUUGACAAUUUAAGUGUAUUGAUAAUGCUACUUAUGUAAUUCAACAUUUAAGAAAAAAAGGCAAGGAAAGCAAGAAGUCAUGCUGCAUAGCAUAGUAUCUAACUGCCUGGUCCCUGGAACCAGACAACCUGUAUCCAGAUUCUAGCUUGCCACUUACUUAACCUCUCUGUGCUUCCGUUUCCUCCUCUGUAAACUGGAGGGUAACAACAGUGCCUACUGCUGAAGGUGGUUAUAGACAUGAAAUAAGAGGAUAUGUUCAAAGUGCUUGGGACCUAGUGAGGUCUAUGUAAAUGUUAGCUAGUAUUACUGAUUAAGGAGAGAAUAUAUCACUGGUGAUUCCACUUUAGUCAGAGAAGAAUGAUGAUUUUUUUCAUAUUCUGGCACUAGUGAGACCUCAGGAAAUGUGUUUUUAAAAAAUCAAUGUCAAACAGCCCCGAAGAUGAGGCUUCUAAUGGUCCUGCUAUUACCUAGUCUUCCUGGAACAAAAUGCACAUUGGAGAGAGUACAGUUCGACCGACAUUCAUACCAAACACUCCACUCAGUGCUAGAGACCAGUGAGGCAACAUUUCUGCUUUUAAGGGGCCCAUUUUGUGUUAUGGGGGGGUGUAGUGGAGGGAAGAGUCAAAUCAGUAAACAAAUCUUUUUAACACAGGGUAGUACACAAGAUGGGAUGACACAGAACUGUGAGUAAGCUAGAGUAGAAAAGAAUGGGAGGGACAAGAACGCUCCUGGUAGAUGUGAACACUCUGGAAAGAUGAGAGGAAUUAGCAAUGAAAGUAAAAAAGGGACUGGGCAUUUCAGGUAAGGGAAACAACAUGAUUUAUUUAGGGGAACUACAAGGAGUUUGGUAUUGUUAAAAUGUAUGUUUGUGUAUAUGUGUGUGUGUCUGUCUGGAUGAUGAAUGGGAAGGGGACAAGGAAGAAUGGUCAGAGGAAGUAAGGAACAACAAGUUUGGAAAGACAGUGACAAUGAUUGGUGACCUUAAUUAUGUAGCAUCAGAGUAGUAGUAGAAACAAAGCAAGAUGGUGGUAGAAAAAUUACUAAAGACAAUCUGCCUCUUUGGGCAGAUUGAGAGAUUUUUUGUUGUUGUUUUUUGAGACAGCGUUUCACUCUGUCACCCACGCU